rnacentral:rRNA from 1 species
GGGUUGUCGUGUAGUAGUAUUGACUACCAUUGAACGUCCCUUGUGGAUAGGAAGUUCCGUUCGGGGACAAAAAUGACAGCUGGUGCAUGGUUGUCGUCAGCUCGGUUCGUGAGAGGUGGGUUAAGUCCCGCAACGAGCGCAACCUUUGAUCUUAGUUGCCAGCAUUUAGUUGGGCACUCUAAGGUGACUGCCGGUGACAAACCGGAGGAAGGUGGGGAGGGGGGCAGGUCAUCAUUCCCCUUAUGACCUGGGCUACACACGUGCUACAAUGGAUGGUACAAAGAGUCGCAAACCCGCGAGGGCUAGCUAAUCUCAUAAAGCCAUUCUCAGUUCGGAUUGUAGGCUGCAACUCGCCUACAUGAAGCCGGAAUCGCUAGUAAUCGCGGAUCAGCAUGCCGCGGUGAAUACGUUCCCGGGCCUUGUACACACCGCCCGUCACACCACGAGAGUUUGUAACACCCGAAGUCGG